GUGAGGAAUAUUGCGCAAUGGAGGCAACUCUGACGCAGCCAUGCCGCGUGCAGGAAGAAGGCGCUACGCGUUGUAAACUGCUUUUAACCGGGAAGAAACCCCAGGACGUGUCCUGGGUUGACGGUACCGGAGGAAUAAGCACCGGCUAACUUCGUGCCAGCAGCCGCGGUAAUACGAAGGGUGCAAGCGUUAUCCGGAUUCAUUGGGUUUAAAGGGUGCGUAGGCGGAGCGUUAAGUCAGUGGUGAAAUCCUGCAGCUUAACUGUAGACUUGCCAUUGAUACUGGCGCUCUUGAGUGCGCUUGAAGUGGGCGGAAUGUGCCGUGUAGCGGUGAAAUGCUUAGAUAUGGCACAGAACACCAAUUGCGAAGGCAGCUCACUAAGGCGAUACUGACGCUGAGGCACGAAAGCGUGGGGAUCGAGCAGGAUUAGAUACCCGAGUAGUCC
rnacentral:rRNA from 1 species